GACCGGCGGACGGGUGCGUAACGCGUAUGCAACCUGCCUGACACAGGGGGAUAAUCCGAAGAAAUUUGGUCUAAUACCCCAUAAUACCGAUAUAGGCAUCUAUGUUGGUUGAAAGCUUUGGUGGUGUCAGAUGGGCAUGCGUUGUAUUAGCUAGUUGGUGAGGUAACGGCUCACCAAGGCGACGAUACAUAGGGGGACUGAGAGGUUAACCCCCCACACUGGUACUGAGACACGGACCAGACUCCUACGGGAGGCAGCAUG
rnacentral:rRNA from 1 species